rnacentral:lncRNA from 1 species
UUUUUGAUUGUGUCGGCCGGCGCGUACCUGUUCCGGCCUGCGUACCACCCAUCUGGUGCAGUCGCUAUAACGUUCGCAACGGGCCGCCGAACCGAACCUCGGCAUUCAUGCAUUUCACGUUUGAUAAAUUGUCCGAGCGUCAGUGCAAAGGCUCUUCGGGCGCGAAAACCGCAGUGGAAAAGUAACGGCACGUUCAAUAGGUGUUGGCAUAGGCGUGAGUAUGCUUUUAAAUUUAAAUUUUAUACUCAAAGUUAACGCGAAACCCGCAUAAUACGCCGUCUCCGUCUCGCGAGCAUGCGACGCGAUUAGUGAAUUCACGUUCGGCAGGUACGUUCAUUGCGCUGCUGAUUGCACUCGGCACUCUAAUGCGUAUUACGCAACUUGAUGGCGAGAAACUAAGAGCCGGUGACCCGUGCGUGGUCGUUUUUCGUUGGGUGUUUUAAUUUUUAAGCCGACCGCAAGAGUUUUCAAAUUGCGAUACUUUACAUACCGAUUCGUGUCUCGCUUAAAAAUUAAAAUGUCGAAAAGUAAAAAUAAAAAAAAAAACACCCGUCGCUGCGCAUAUAAUGUUUGCCGCCGUUCGGUUUGCGAAUACUGUUCGAUUCGUUGCAAUAUUCCCAUAACAAAACUAAUACGCAGCACAAUGUCGUCCCUACUGAACGCAAAUUGAUUACCCGCGGCACAUGUUUGUACCACAGAGACAGCACAUAUUGUACAGGUGACCCAUCCAAUCAAUCAUCAUCCGAGUAUGAAUCUAGGACAAAAAAAAAAGUAAAUACAUAAAAUUAGCUGUUCAAGUGUAUCGUUGUUCGAUUUUAUUUUUUAUUUUUUCACCGAAUGUAAAAAUAAUUGUAGGCGUCUGAAUUUGCUCAAUAUACAAAUAUUAGCCAAUAGCCAAUCAAAUAACAUGGCGUUGUAUGAAAGUGAAUUCAAUCAAUCAACAAUCCUGUAGAAAAAAAUCCCCAUAAUCAUCUACCCGAUAAGCAACGAAUACAUGUUUACAGAAAAUGAAGGAUCAUGUAACUUCUUCUAGUACAAUAGAUCCUGUAGAAAUAUUCACUGAAAAGGUAUCAGAAUUAAAAACAGAAACUAAAGCUAGAAUACCCACCGAAGAUCAAAAAACUAUCCAAAUUCUAAUUUAAUUAAAGGUGAGAAAAAUCCAUUAAAAAUUAAAAUAACAGGGUAGAGAAAGAACACGGUUUAGCAUCCUAGUUUUAAAAAAAAAUUGUAUAUUUUCAUUAUUUUUUUUUUUAAAUUUAUUUAUAGGUGAUUGGUGUACAACUGGUAACCUCCUAUAAUACAUUGAAUAUUCAACGUUUUGUAAAAUAAACUAUCAUAGUGAGGUAGUAAGUACAUUCACCAGUUCAAUUAAUAUUUCCUCACUAGUUGUUUCUAUUGGGACUGAGGAACAACAUCUUUUUUUGCAAAUAAUGAUAUCUUAAAAAUCCAUCUAUUAUCAAUUUUGAUGUAAGUAUUAAUCAUAGAUUUUUCGGAAUUUGAUAUUAUAAUAUUAAAUACUAAUAAAAAUUGGUGCAGUAGGUGUAUUGUCGUUUAGCCUUAAGUAAUUAUUAUCAUUUGGUAUUUUAUUAUCUGUAUUGAACUUUUCUUGUUUCGUCCUGUG